GCGGCAUACAUCAUAGUUAGCAAUAUUUAAAGAAACUACGACCGCAUCAUUAUGGGAGAAUUGAAUCUCUUGAGCAUCUUCUUCAGUAAAGGUUAUAGAUUCUUCAAUCCUCUGCCACUUGGGCGGUCCGGUCGAUCCACUGGCUGCUCCCCACCGGGGUCCUCCAGAGAGGGUGUUGAUGAUCCCGAUUGGAGGCCGAUCUUCAGGCUGUUCUUCCUUCUUUGGCGGCCCUGGUUGUGGUAGGGCCCUCGAUCGAUCUUUCCUACCUUUAGGCC
rnacentral:lncRNA from 1 species